rnacentral:rRNA from 1 species
UUGGAGGGCAAGUCUGGUGCCGGCAGCCGCGGUAAUUCCAGCUCCAAUAGCGUAUAUUAAAGUUGCUGCGGUUAAAAAGCUCGUAGUUGAAUUUCGGGACCAAUAUGUCGGUCGUGCCUCGGUACGUACUGGCAUCGUUGGUUUCUCCCUUCUGACGAACCAUGAUGUCAUUUAUUUGGUGUCGUGGGGAAUCAGGACUGUUACUUUGAAAAAAUUAGAGUGUUUAAAGCAGGCUCACGCUUGAAUACAUUAGCAUGGAAUAAUGAAAUAGGGCGUUUGAUUCUAUUUUGUUGGUUUCUAGGAUCGACGUAAUGAUUAAUAGGGAUAGUUGGGGGCAUUAGUAUUCAAUUGUCAGAGGUGAAAUUCUUGGAUUUAUUGAAGACUAACUACUGCGAAAGCAUUUGCCAAGGAUGUUUUCAUUAAUCAAGAACGAAAGUUAGGGGAUCGAAGACGAUCAGAUACCGUCGUAGUCUUAACCAUAAACUAUGCCGACUAGGGAUCGGAUGAUGUUAAUUUUUUAAUGACUCAUUCGGCACCUUACGGGAAAC